rnacentral:tRNA from 7 species
GCCGCCUUAGCUCAGUCGGCAGAGCAUCUCACUCGUAAUGAGAAGGUCGUCAGUUCGAUUCUGACAGGCGGCUCCG